rnacentral:rRNA from 1 species
GGGGGGGGGGGGGGGGGGGGGGGGGGGAGGGGAGUGGGACGGGGGGAGGGUAAGAGGUUGCUCUGACGGGUGGCGAGUGGCGGACGGGUGAGGAAUACAUCGGAGUCUACUUUUUAGUGGGGGGUACAGUAGGGCAAUUUACGCUAAUCCCGCAUACGACCUUCGGGUGACCGCCGGGGUUCUUCGGACCUUGCGCGGUUUGAUGCUCCUAUGUCGGAUUCGCUAGUUGGCGGGGUAAAGGCCCACCAAGGCGACGAUCCGUAGCUGGUCGGAGAGGAUGAGCAGCCACACUGGAACUGAGACACGGUCCAGACUCCUACGGGAGGCAGCAGUGGGGAAUAUUGGACAAUGGGCGCAAGCCUGAUCCAGCCAUACCGCGUGGGUGAAGAAGGCCUUCGGGUUGUAAAGCCCUUUUGUUGGGAAAGAAAAGCAGCAGGUUAAUACCCCGCUGUUCUGACGGUACCCAAAGAAUAAGCACCGGCUAACUUCGUG